GCACCCGCAGUAAUUCCAGCACCAAAAGCGUAUAUUAAUGCUGCUGCUGUUAAAAAGCUCGUAGUUGGAUCAAGAGUCGGACAGUGCACGGUGGCCCCAUUAGCCAGUUUGGCUCCGGUCAUAUUGGCGGUGGCGGAUCAACCCCGUGCGCCAAACUGUCCGCUCUAACAGACCGAAACGGUUCCCUGUGAGUAGGCCCCUUCAUUGGGGUCGAAAGCGCCUACGCAUCAACCAUAUGCAUACGGGACGUCGGUCAAAGUUACUGUGAACAAACCAGCGUGUCCAAAGCAGGCUUUCGCCUGAAUGUUCGAGCAUGAAAUAACAAGGGAUCGAUCAUCUCGGUUAUUUUUGUUGAUUUUUAACCCGAGAAGGAGUAAUUCAGGCCACGGUGUCUGAGUUGGGUUUCCCGGGGCUUCGGCUGAGGCCCCAAUUAGGCCGUGUCCUUACGGGAUCAAUAGGGACUGACGGGGUCGUACGUACUUCCGCGUCAGAGGUGAAAUUCUUAGAUCGCGGGAAGACGAACUUCUGCGAAAGCAUUCGACAAGAAUGUCUUCAUUAAUCAAGAACGAGAGUGUGGGGAUCGAAGAUGAUCAGAUACCGUCGUAGUCCACUACUGUAAACAAUGCCAUCUCAGGAUUGAGAAGUGAACUGAAUGACUUUCACAGCACUAACCCCUGAAACGAGAAAUCAAAGAUUAUGGGUUCAGGGGGGAGUACAUUCGCAAGGCUGAAACUUAAAGGAAUUGACGGAAUGACACCACAAGGCGUGGAGUAUGCGGCUUAAUUUGACUCAACACGGGGAAUUUUACUAGGUCAGGACAAUGUAAGGAUUGACAGAUUGAGAGCUCUUUCUCGAUCCAUUGUGUGGUGGUGCAUGGCCGCUCCUGGUUGGUGGAGUGAUUUGUCUGGUUGAUUCCGUUAACGAACGAGAUCUCGACCCUUAAAUAGGUGCCCAUGUCAAUCGUAGUUUCACUCCUGCUCGCUUGCGAGACUAGGAUGGGACGAGACUGUGGGAAUACUUCUUAAGGGGACUGUAUGCGUCUAUAGCAUGCGGAAGAGCGAGCCAAUAGCAGGUCUGUGAUGCUCCUAAAUGUCCUAGGCUGCACGCGCACUACACUGAUGCAAUAAACGAGUCUCACGGCCUUCUGGCAACCUACCUGGAAGCGGAUGGGAAAUCUUUUGAACUGCAUCGUGAUGAG
rnacentral:rRNA from 1 species